CUAUGCGGCGCAGCCAAUGGAAUGGAAGGAGCGGAGGUCUCGCCCUAUCAACGUCGAGAGAGAGAAAAAAGGGAAAGAGCGCGAGGCGCCAGCCCCACCAGCCCCAGAUUCGUUCCCCAUCCCCUGAUUCCUUGCCCUCUCCCUCUCUCUGGACGACCUCCCCCGCCGCCGCCGCCGACGCCCUCUCGCACAGCCUGCGCCCCCACGCCUUCUCUUCUCCCCUCACCUUUCCCCAUCCACCAGCGACCUCCUCCCAUUCCCCUCUCGCAGAUUGAGCAGCAGGCCCGAAUCAAUGGCCACGGUGGCGCGAGCGCCACGAUGCACCGCGGCCGUGCGAGGAGGAAGCUCGACGUGGCUCUGACCCUGGUGCCGACACCAUGAACAAGGCGACGGCUGGGUCAGGGCGGGUGCAGAAGGCCGUGGCGAGUCGGGCACCUCUAGGAAGAAGCAGCAGGCUUGGUGGAGCGGCGGAUGCGGGCGGGGCCGGCAGUUGUGGGAGGCCGGCCGGCCGGCCGGAGCGACAGGAGCAGUCCGGGAAUCACAUCGCAAGGCUGCCCUGGUUUGUUUUUCUUUGCUUUGUUCCUGUCAUCCUCGCCUCUGGUACCGGAAAGAUGAACAAGGAGGUCGAGCAGUGCGUGGCGUUGUCUCUAUCGUCCUUAUCCGGUUACAUGCUCCUCUACUAGGUCGAGUUUGCUGACCGCAUGGGGCAUGAGUGUGGCCACAAUGAAUCACAUGGGCAAGUUCAACUUCUCCAUGACUACAUCCAUCGUUUUCUAGCUACUUUGCAUUCUUCAGAUAUGCAGUUUCGUUUUAUAUCUAUAGACCUCAUCUUGGCAUGAGUGUUUCCAAAAAAAAUCACUGCUGCUGCCUUAACUCCAGUAUGCAUUUCUGCAGGUUUCAUCAGCGAUGCCUUUUUGUGAUAUGAUUGCUUUGUCGCAUGCUCAUCAAUUGUUUGUGAAAGUGACAACCCUCAACUGGGAUUUCUUAUCUGACUAGUAGCAUAUUUGUAUGUAUGUGGCUUUAUGUCUUCAAGCUACGUUAUGUCAACAAAUUAAAUUGUGCAGAUGUAGAUAUAUAAAUUAAGGUACUAGCAAAUUGACAUGUUGACAUGUGUCUCUUUCAUCCUUCCACAUUGAUAAAUCAUACCAACAGAACUGAAAUUUUGAUUGUCCCUCUCCUUCAACUCAACAAUUUGAGUUCUAGCAUACUAGAUUGACACCCAUUCAUCAUGCCAUCAAAUUCUUAAGGCAUUGUUCAGUAUUCAGUAUUAUUAAAAAUUGAUCUUAUAUUAUUUGUAUCUCCUUGGAGAUAAUCAUAUCGUUUCAGUUUGGUAUUUAUUGUUUUUGAGUAAGCGAAGGUAUAUAUCUGUUCACCCUUCUAAGGUGUAGAACGAGAUCAUCCACUUCGAAUUGUCCAGGAGUGUUUGGGAGAAAAUCUUCCGUUGCUUAGUUAUGGUACUGAACCUUGGCAUGUCUUGGUUCUUCUUUAGGAUUCACCUAUAUUAACUGUGGUGAACAUCAUUGCUGAGAAGAAGACACAUUUAAGCUAUCAAUUCUAGAUCUGUAUUUUUUAGGCUAUGCAGCUGAUACAUUUCUUACUUUGCUAGCUUCACUAUUUGUAUCGGAAAAGACUCUUUCACGAUCGGUCAUUCCAACGCUUGAAGCGAUCCUUCCGCCCACAAUCAGUUUCCGAUCUGGAUGUCUCCCUUUCCAUAUCAACAACGCUGGCCGCACCUACUCCUUGGACCAUCCAAGCAGCCCAUCCAUCCAUGUACUUGGUAAUACGCACGUAAUCUCUCUCCCCCUUGAUUUUCAGGGGUGGGGGUCGGGGGCAAACCCAACUUUCCUUCUAAAUCCUUGACAAAACUAAUAAAAAAGCGCCGCACUUUCCUAAUUAGCUAACUGCUUCCUGUCGGAAAGCGAGUGGUCCAGUGCGCGAGCGCGCAUUAGCCAUGCCCAUUUGUAUCUCAGGGCUGUGAUGUAUAUUCUUUCUUUUCCAAUGCACAUGAGUUAGCAUAUUUAAGUACAACGAUGCUGAAUGGGAGACAAUUUUUUUUCAUUCCGUGUGCAUGUUAUGUAGGUUUUUUCCCCAAUGAAAUAAGCCAUCUUUUCUUUCCUAUAUAUUGGCUUCAAACUGGUGCUGAACAGACCCGCGUCAUAAUUAUUAUGAUGGCCCCUCUACUCUAUUCUGAUACGUGUUUUACCUCCUUUGGUCUUAACGUCAAUUGGUUGGCUUGGAACGAUGGCAAGAGCAACCAUGGCCUGCAAUCCUUUCCUUGCGAGUUCUUUGUGAGCUAAUCUUCACUUGGAUGCCUUUUCAUAAAUUGUUUUGGCCAUCAACUUCUUUUGUGCUUUGUAGCACCAUUUGUGUUAUGUGCAUACUAGGUGUUUAAUUAAAAGCUCCUGUGCAGGGCCUAUGAGGGUCCCUAUUCAUCUGUUUAAGGUAUAAAAUGGUAGAGCAAGGUCUCGUUAGCAAUCUUGUUUUCUCAUUCUGGUUGAACGCUAUGCUGAUGUAGAAGGUGGUGAAAUUAUAUUUGGAGGAAUGGAUCCUAAAUACUACAUAGGUGAGCACACAUAUGUCCUAGUCAUCCAGAAUGGAUAUUGGCAGUCCACAGGUACUGGAACAGGAUUUUGUCCUGACGGUUGUGCCACAAUUGUUGAUUCUGGACCUUCAUUGCUUGCCGGUGCCACGGUAUGUUCUGAUCUUCAUAUCUAUGUUUAUCUUCAGAGUGGCGGAGUGACAUCGACCUUUUCAAUUGAAGUUGUUGUUUUGUAUGGCAUGAUCUACUAAAAUAUUGCAAUAUUUUUUUACCAAAUUGAUUUAUUAUUUUGGAGCAAUUAUCUUACAAAUGAUCAAAUUCACACUAUUUUUGUAUGAUCUUCCAGACUUGUAGGCUAGACACAUGUUAUGUGCUUAAGAAAUGCGAUGAUAUAGCACCUGAUCUUUUUACUAACAAGUCACAAUACUGGAAGAGCAUUUUGCUUGAUUUCAUGAGUAUCAUUCCUCAAACUUUCAGCUUAUAUUAAAGUCAGAUACAUGGGAGGUGUCAGCAUUUAGUGAAAAAAGUUUCAGCAAUCUUCGAGAUUCUCAAGCUUGAUUUUAAAAAGAAAAGAUGUCCCCUUCUUUCUCUUAAUCCUUUUGUCAAUUAAGUUCAAAUUUCCAUUGCUAAGAUAACGGAUGCAACACUUAUUUUACCAGUUUUGAAGCAGAACCAUAUAUGGAAAGACCAGACAUAAGUGCUAUUUUCUCGUGUAAACUUCUUUUGCUUGUCUAUAUCCCACCAGUAUACAUUUCUUUAAUUGAUAGUUUAUUAUACAUACUUUGAUUUACAUAAUUUAAAGAAAAAACGAUGAACUACGGAUAGUGUCCUACUAGAAUAUUUGGAAAAUGAAAAUGAGCUGUGGUUAUUCACUUAUACUAGCAGAAUCACUAUCAAACUAAGUUUUUCUGCAUGUGUGUGACACCAAUAUACUUCUAAUCUUAGUAUUGGGUUCUUCUUAAGGAUAAUUUCCUUCUCAUACUAUCGCUGGAAUGGUCAAAAUAGGUGCCCUCGAAGUCACUUUUCUUCUUCAUGCUUACUUGUUGUCAUCGGAUAUUAUAUAGAGAUUAAGACUACAUAUCAAAGUCAUUUUAUAAGAUUCAGAGUUUCAGUAAUAAGAAGGAAAAUGUGCGAUAUCAUGUUUCUUACUCUACUGGGUGUUGAGUAAUGAACCAAUUGAUAUUGGAUAUAAUGUAAGUCUUAAUUAUCUUAAUUGCAGUAUCACAUUAUUUUACUCUGUUAAUACAUUGGGUUUGCCAUCAGUAUUUUGAUUGUGAAGAACAUCCAUCUUCUCUGCAGUAGAUCAUUCUUUCUGCUACCUUAUAGUUAUACCACCAAUGUAUCUUAAUCUAUGGAUCAUUCCAAUAGGUGCACGAUCCGCACAAUGGUUUUCAUGGUCAGUUUAAGUCGAGUGCUGAGAGACUUGGUGAUGAGUUCGGUGCUUCUGCUGGUGCAUACGUUGGUUUUGGUACAAUAGCUAUUUAGCUAAUUAUUUGUUCUGUCUCAUAAGUAGAAUGAUCCAUUGCUGUUGAUUGUAAAUUAAUAAAUAGAUGCAGCAGACUAGGUGAGUAGCUACAUAGCUAAUUAUUGAUCUUGUCUUGGGUGAAAGGGUGCGUUUGUUAACUCAGAGACUAAAAGGUAACCCAGACUACUUUAUUUGUUUACUGUCCUUCUGAAACCUUAUUUGUUUAGCUUUUGCUGAUAAACUCAACUGCAUCUCAGUUUUCUCUUCCUUUUUCUUGGAUUGCAGGUUCUGAUGCGCGAGAUUCUUCUGGUUGCUGUGGCGCACGCAAGCCUGGACGACCACGCCGCCAACUGGUUUACAUUGGAUCAGUCUAUGUACCACUGGGCUCUCAAUGACUACUACGAUAGCACCAACAAGGUUCGUACCUUUUGAUUUCUCCUCUACAGUUUCCCUAUAACUUUGAGGAAUCAGAUUCCAUCUGUGUCCUCUCCGUUAUCAUUCUUAUUGUUAUUCUUAGUUAGAUCUGCGACUGUGAGAACAAUUUGAUAUUAGAGUUCCAUAGUAGUUUUGUAGUCUUCAUUUUUAUGACGAAGAUUUGGUGGGUGAAUUGCACCUGUGGUUGACGCUGCCGUUGUUAUGUGUUGACGUUCACGUGUUGAUCAGUGUCUUCCGAAUUUGAUAGAUGCUCAUAACUCUGUCGUCGUAUGUGUGGUUAUUGAUUUGGGCCUGAUAGGCAUAUAUACGUUGUGGCGUGUACAGAUGGCUAAAUUCAAUCUCAUCUUGUAAUAUCUGUAAAGCUGGAAGACGAAGAUGACUAGGCCUGAAACACAAGGCAAAAAUAGAUGCCUUAUCACACGUUUUAGCUCCUAUAGGUAUGACAAAGAAUUUUCCUGGGCACUAGGCUUGUCAUAUCGUAUAGAGUAACAUGUUUUGAAGCUUUUGUAAAGUUUUUCCUUUGUUUGUGCUUUGAGUGCACCGCCUUUUUCAAUUGAUUAUGGCUUCUCAACAUACUUAUAUCCGCCUUAUAUGUUUAUUCUUGACAAUCAUGACUGCCAAGUGGGUGAAGUGACAAGUUUGUCUUUGUUGCUAUGUUAUUUGCAUCAUUCAAGUGCUCGUGUCACUAAUCUCAUGAUAUCCUUUAACCUUUAACAUAUGUUGAAAUGCAAAGAUGGCACUAGAGUGAUAGGAGGUGUGAUUGGGAAUUGGGUAGAAACAAAGCAUACUACUAGCGUGUUUGUUACUUACAGUUCAAAAUAGAUGUAUUUCCUACCAUACUUGAUUUGUAUAUAUAAGGGCCUGUUUGUUGGAUAAUAAUCAUCUUUCACACAUCAUCCACUUUGUCAUUUCUGUUAUCUAUUUUGGUUUACUUGUAUUCCUAAAGGUAUAUCUUCUUCCUGAACGUAUCUCAACGAGGCUUUCACAUCCAGGUUCAGCUGCCACAAACAUAAAUGUGGCUAUGUUGGAAGAUGGUACAGAAAUGUUCAUGCCGCUCUACGUUAUUUGCAUAAAGCAUUAUUAUUAGUAUAGUUAUGUUUGUAUAUUCACCAGAAUAGUCAUCUAAUUGCAGGAGUUUACCACAGAUGGAGUGCAGUCUAGAAGUUAGAAUGAUGGAACGCUAUAUCCUGCUAUACAGGGUAUGCAAGAAUAGUGGGAUUUCUAUUACUGGAAGUAUUACAUAUGCUUUGUAUCUUUGCAACCUUGCCCCCAGUCAUGAGUUAUUGGCAGGGGAUCUUUGGUUAUGAGUUCUAAUAAUUAAAAAUUUAAAUGUAGUCAUCAAGCCUUACUCAGACACAUGUUUUUUCUGCAAAUGAUUUGUGGUAUGAGCAUGGAUGCCAUUCUUUCCUGAAUGAACAUAUAUUGGUGAUCAGCAGAUGCUUUGUGUUCUACAAAUGGAGCUACCUAGAGAUAGUUGUAUAAUACUAAUUGUUACUUCUGAACCACCUGUCGUAUCUGUAAUGAGUCGUCUAAGCUAUAAAAUUGUUGCCCCUGUGUUCAUAUGUGCCUAUCAUUAUCUACGAUGCUUGUCGUAUCUAUAAUGAGUCGUCUGGGCUAUAAAACCGUUGCCUGUGUUAAUAUGUGCAUGUCUUCGUUAUUUCCGGACGGAGGGAGUAGAUUUUAUGCAUGUGCAUUUUCUGUACCUUAUUUUUCCCACCACCAAGAUGCUCAUGUCAGUGCUUCUAAGCCUAAUCUAUUUUAUGCAUGUGCACUACUCAAAUACGACAGCUAGAUUAGUGCGCACAAUCCUGCCUCAAGAGGCGCCACAGGUGCCGCCCCAACCACUAGUUAAACCCACCGCUUGUGCCACGUCGAUCGCGUGGGUUGGCCAGGAAGGUCUCCUCCUUCUGUUUUGAGUGGGCCACGUGUUGCAUGUUGACUGGGGGUAACAGGGAAAAACGGACCGGCCACCUCUACUUUUCUGCGCUGGCUUCGCCUAUACGGUUCCCAAACGCUAUCGUCCCGCCGCCGCCGCGAUGCGUCUCUACUGCUCUUCUCCCCCACCACCUCCGGCUCGAGGAAGGGGUACGCCGCCGCCUCACGCUCUCCAGCGCCACCGACGCGGGGGACGCGCCUCCCCUCCCACCCACGCCGCUGCGGGCCAGCGACUCCCCUGCCACCGAGGACCCCAUCCUCCUCGGUGUGAGCGACGACCGCAUCCCGAGGGCGUCAUCCAGGUCGAGAGGCCCGGCCAGGUCUACGCCCAGUCCAAGAUCGUCUUCCACGCGUGAUCCCAUCACCCCGGACCGCCAUUCCUCAUUUGUAUUUAUGUUUGUCUUCGAUUCGCACAUUCAGUUGGUUUGCUCGGGAAGAUAUAUAUGGCUUCUGGCCGGAGAGGAUCUGCUUUGCCUCCUGAUCUUCUCCGCGUUGGGGAGGUUGGUUGCUUAGCGCCUACUCCUUGCCGGAUUUGGUGAUGAUGCCAAAGGAAGCAAUGGUGUUGGGAAGGCUGUAGCGGUUCGAGCAGAAAGUGUUCAGUUCAUCUUUCAUGGUUAAUUCUUUGCAACAAUUUGAUAAGAUGCUGAAAUCAAAGGUGUAGCCUCUAUUUGAUGAGCAGAGUUGCUAUAAACUCGACUAGAACACAAGGAGGAGUAUGGGUCUGCAUGUACAUAUAAGAAGAAGAUGGCUUGUGGUGAUUUGUGUCUGUUUUCAGUUGUGUCGACAACGAGAUCUUCAUCAUAGACCUCAAGAAGGGCGCCGUCUCCAUAGGUCUCUGGACAAACAGGUGCAAGGAGGGCUUUGUUUGCUGCAGCACAAGACAAUAGCCAAUAGAUGUUUAUAUGGCAGAUGUUUAAACUGCCAAGGAUUGGGUUAUAUUAGUCAAUAGAGUACUGAACAUGUUGGGUUGUUGUCAGUUGCUGUAACCCAUAUUAGAUGACGCGAGUCUUCUUUUAGCCUGCAAACCAUAGUCAUUAUAGCUUUGCUCCAGUUUGCCAGUGUAUAGCUGAAUAUGAGCCAUCUACCUGCUGGAAGUGGUCACAUAUGGGGUAACUUUUAGUGGCAGGGUGAAGUAAUGGUACUGGCAUUUAUAUUACUGAAAGUACAGUACAUACUUUGUGUUAUUUUGCAUGCUCUCUAUGUGUUCUCGGUUCGGCAGAGGAUGCUUGGUGAUGACCUCUUAAAUGCUCUGAGUAAUAAUUGAGAAUACAUGGACAAUGUCAAAUUGAAGCAUGAUAUUUGCAUGUCAUAUUUACUCGACAAUUUUUUUUCUGCUUUUUUCUCAUUCUUUUAGCUGUUGGGACUUGGGAGCAUAGACAGAAUCCUGUAGUGAUUAGCUUAUUUAUUUUCUUAGUUGUGCAUUUGAAAUCAUGGACAGGUUAACUAAACUAUUUUCCCACAAAAGAAAUUUUGUUCAGGGAAUGUUCUCCUUGAAGAGGGAGAUUCCCUGUAAUUGUUCUCCCACUAGAAUCCUGCAAUAUACACGGGUUGUUGUAAUUUUUAUGAUAGAACAUGACAACCAUACACUUUAAGCCCAGUGUUGAUGUUGACCAUUUAAUUUUGGGCUGAGAAGUCCAGUGACAAGAUAUGUGAACCUACUACAACUAACAACUGUUGAUGCAAUUUCUGAAGUUACAUCUAUCGUACUCAUCAAUUUUUUUUAACCUUCAGUGCUUCGUAUUGUAGGCCAUGCCGUGUCAUUGCACCUGUUUAUGCUGAAAUGUCAAAGAAUUAUCCUCAACUGAUGUUCCUGCCAAUUGAUGUUGAUGACCUAAUGGUAAUUCCAUCUUACAUUUGUUUGGGUAAAAUGACCCUAAAAAGUCCAGUUGGACAUGUAAUAUUGACCGAUGCUUUGUUAAUUCACAAAUGUUCAGCCAAACCUCAAAGUAUGCAGUGUAUCUUCUUAUCUUGUUAUUUCCUGUUUCAAAGAAAUGUAGGCAAACACAUAAAUAUGUAUGCAGUCCUGUAUAUUUUUAUCUUGCCAUUCCCUGUUUCAAAGAAAUAUAUGCAAACAGGUAAAUAUUUGUUACUGCCAAUUUUGUGGAGUGUGGUGGAGUGCUUUUGUCACCCUGAUAGCUCGACGCUGUGAUGAAGAGCGGGUUGUUCUGGUGCUUCCAGAGUUGACCCGCCUUAGUUAGCUACUUAGCUUUAGAUGUGAUCACUAAUGCUUAUUAACUGUAGUUGUAGUUUCAGAAGUAGCAUGCUAGCAGUCAUAUAUUGGCUAAGUCGCAUUUGUGUUCGGUACAUUAAGAUGAAAAUCACAAGAAUUCCGAUGAAAGACAUCAUGCUGAUUCUGACGUGGAAAAGGAUGAUGCCAAGCCUCUGGAGGACUUUGAAAGUACUCAGUGUGUGAGAGUUAAGAGAGAAUCUGCUGAAACUGAGGUGAUAACAGAUCAGGUAAUUUACUUCUAUUUUAACAGAGCAGUACUCAGAGUGAUGCCUUGUCUCUCUAGUGCUUGCAAGCAUUUUGACGUUUAGGGCUUUCGGUUCCCUUUUUAGAUAUGUGAUAAGGCAACCCAUGCAAAAAAAUUCACUGGGAAAAACUACAGUCUCCUGACAAAGUUACAGAUGCUUUGUUUAACUUGAUGAUCCAUAAACAAGAUAUAGAUCUGCAGCUCAUUAGAAUUCAACUUUUUUGCCUGCUGCUUAUCGUCCAUCGCAUCUUUAUGGUUGCAUUUGCAUGUUCAGAACUGGUUUGACCAUCUCCUAUAUGAAUGUAUGCCAUAUGCGUAUGCUUGGUGUGCCAGUUAAAAGAUGUGGUGUGCCAGUUAAAAGAUGCAAAUGGUAAACGACAAGACAGAACAUCUUUAUGUUCCUAAGUCUAUAUUAGUUAUUUUAGAUCUUUAAGAUAUCGUACAGACAAGAAAUCGCAUGCAUGAUAGUAUAACACAUAUCCAUCUGAACUAAAAUUGGGUGUACCAAGGGCUGGGGCAACUGGGUUAGGGUAUAAAUAAAUAUGUUUCUUUGUGCUGAUUUUUCCUUAUCAUCUUGCUAUGUUCGUCCAGCUAGGGAAUCACGAGGUUUUCAUGUCCAACGGAACACAAGCCUUUUUUAAAUACAUGUUACUUCAGGCACCGCGUUUCAGAUCCACGCCGCUUUAUUCAUGUGUUGGGUUGCCAUUUUCGAGCCACUUAAUUUACGGGUUGGGAUUGUUGUCACGGUUGUUUAAUACCAAAUAUAUUAUCCGGAUUGCUAGAUUUUUAUUUGUGUUCGUAUCAGAGGCUGCAAAGAAUCUUGUAGUUGCGACGACAGCGGCACCUUCAGUUCGUGCUUUGAGGGCACCUAUUACAAAUACAUCUUACGGAUCAGGUAUGUAUCAUAUGGCUGCUUGUCUCUCCAGCACACAUGAAUUAUAGCCUUAAUCGUGUGCAGAAGUAACCUUUUAUGUCCCCUUUGGGCGCUGCCAUCGUCCUCGCACCGUCGCGCGCGGCGUCGGAGACACGGAUGAGGUCGAGCAGUCUGUGCUUUCGUGUUCUUUCCUUGGCGUGUGGAGCCGAGGAUUCGGACGAGGAAGCCAAGCAAUCUGUGGCAUCUUCACCGGCGUCCUCUUGGUGUGCGGCUCUGGAGGGAUGGACAAGAAGGCCAAGAGCUGGAAGUGCAGCUAUAUCUGUAGUGGUUUGUUUGAUGGGGAACUAUCUUUGUAUGCCAGUAUACGCUGUAGUGGUUUGUAUUGAUGAUUCCAUGCUGAAUUUCUACUCAGUACCAAAUGAAUAAACUGUCACCGCACUAAGCCGAGUUCAUGCAAUUGUGUUACGCAAAUCGGAAAUGGAUGCAUACAUUAGUCAUAUAAGAAGGUGAAAGGGGCGCACCCUACCUGGCACCGCCCCAGCUUCCUUUGAAGCGGCGCACUAUGGGUGCGUCCCAACCACUAGUAUGGGAGUA